GUCCUACAAAAUAGUUUAAGGCAGGCUAAUUCAGUUUUCAUUUUCAAGGUUGAUCUGCGCUGUGCUGUUAAAAGCUAGAUUUGGAUACGUUACGCAAAAAUUGACUGUAAGAUUGUUUACAGCCAAAUAUAGAACAGUCACUGACGCACGCGAGAAGCGGCGGGCCGCGCUGGAGCGUCGAGCAAAGCACGUGCCAAUCUGAUAGUUAAUCGAAUAACGACAUCCAACAUUCAACUACAAUUGAACGAAGUCCGAGGACGAGAGACAGCCAACAAACGAAUAGUGGGAAGUCGCCAUCUUUAGCAAAAGUCGCCUCGUUCGACAAGGGGGAUCUCUCGAUCAACAUGAGACAAAGCAAAAAUUGACUUCCUAAGAAGCAUUUAGAUCCAGAGUAAAUACGAGAGAGGCCGUGAUCUACAUUUGGUGUCAAAGUGUCUGGAACAUUGGUAAAUGCUGUAGAAAAACAGGUCGCUGGACAAGGAACGCUAUAUGGUUCAAUUGCGCUUCUGAUACUCAGGGCACAAAAGAGUCGACCUACAAAGUGACCUUAACCACGCUGCUCCAUUGCAAUGCUGAGCCACGUAUGGCAAGGGCCGCUACAUCCAUCCUGCAAGAAUUCUAUUGAGAGACUUUUUUUUUUACAGUCAGCAUAGUUUGUAAAUCGGGCAAAAAGACAUAUCAGUAGAAACUAAUACUAAAACGAAUCAUUACUUGUCGAGAAUACAACACGUUUAUUAAUUUCAGACUCAGUUGUAUAUUCCUGUGAGAUUUGUCGAAUAAAGUGGUCAAUAUCGGCUUUCCUUCGGGAGAAGUAUCUUUUUUAGCGGAUUCUAUGACUCAGCGCACACUUGU
rnacentral:lncRNA from 11 species